ACGCGCACACACACACACACAUCGCAGUGACAUUCCAGCAUGCAUGCACACACACACACGCACACACAUGCACACACACACAUAUUCUAGUGACAUUCCAGCACGCGCACACACACACAUCGCAGUGACAUUCCAGCAUGCAUGCACGCACACACACACGCAUGUGCUUCCACCUCCGGCUCUGUUCCCGUGGUGACCGAAGAAAUGCAUCUCGACAGCGCAGCAAAUCUCCACAAGCAGCCCGGCAACCAUCACCAGGGAGCCUGUCGCCGCGGUAACGAGAAGAUGACAGGUGGAUAGGAGCGCAAUCUCCGAGCUUCGGCCGCAGGGAAAUGAAAGCGAAUGCAGCAGAGAUUAUUGUGACGACACUCGUUUGUGCGCCGGAGGGCGAAGACCAGCACUUACUCAACAAAUAAGAAACAACAGCACUUAGAGCUGAACCUUCAACAGCAUCAUUAAUAAGAUAAGUCAGACUCGAGACACAGGGGAGUUAGAAUCAAACAGACGGGUUUAUUGAACGGUAUGCGGGAGAUCAAGGAACUGGUCUGACGGAGACGUCGAGGAUCGUGGGUUUUCCAGGAGCUGGCGUGACGGAGCGCACACACACAGGAACACACGAGGGGAACACAGGAGAUCAAGGAGACUUUGAGCAAUAGGUAAGUAAUUCAGCAUCGGUUUGAGUCCUUUUCCACUUGGGAAACCAGACGAUGUGGCUGUGUGAACUGUGUGUUCUUAUAGUGCUGUGUGGGUGAUUGGUGAAUGACAAUCAGGUGUGCGUGAUUAGUAUUCUGGUGAUUGUGAGCGCUGAUAGGUGGAGGAGCCUGGCGUGUCUGUGACAGUUUUACGUUUUCAUUGUUAUUUUGAAUUUUUACGUUUUAAUGGGUAUUUGCAAUGUUUUACGUUUUCAUUGGUAUUGACUUGACUUGACUUGUAUUUUCCAUUUUUGUAAGUUUUAAUUAGUAUUUGCAAUUUUGUAUGUUUUCAUUGUUAUUUGCAAUUUUUGUACGUUUUAAUUGGUAUUUGCAAUUUUGUACGUUUUCAUUGUUAUUUGCAAUUUUUGUACGUUUUAAUUAGUAUUUGCAAUUUUGUAAGUUAAUU